CUUAAAUUGAAGAGUUUGAUCAUGGCUCAGAUUGAACGCUGGCGGCAGGCCUAACACAUGCAAGUCGAGCGGAAACGAGUUAUCUGAACCUUCGGGGGACGAUAACGGCGUCGAGCGGCGGACGGGUGAGUAAUGCCUAGGAAAUUGCCCUGAUGUGGGG
rnacentral:rRNA from 1 species